GCUUGAAUAGGCAGUGACUCUGUUCCUGUUCCUGCCAUCUUCUCUGCUGCUGUCUCUCUUGUCCUCAUGAUGGACACUGUGCCUGCCCUGUCUCCACAGCUGCUGUCUCUGUAGUCAUCGUGGUCUCUGGAGAGGCUGUGACAACUUGAGUCAGGCUGCACUUCUUGUCUGCUGCCCUAGAAACCAUGAUCCUGGACCUGAGGCAACCUAAGGCUGGCACUGAGGCGAGCAGAGCUUAGAGCUGUGAGAACCUCUUGGAUAGGGGAUGAAGUGUGAGAAGAGGAUUUGGGGUCUGCUGGGUCCCCUUGGCCCUGAGCUUCUCCUGAUGAAGUCACAGCCUUUCAAAGCUGGGGGCAAAGAAAAGCAGCUCGGACGGACAUGGAAAAAUCACCACAAGCUCUUUCUGCUCUUCCUUGUCUCCUGCCUGUUUGUCCUUACACAGCUGCUUAGCUGGGUGACCA
rnacentral:lncRNA from 1 species